CCCUGGUAGUNCACGCCGUAAACGAUGAGUGCUAGGUGUUAGGCCCUUUCCGGGGCUUAGUGCCGGAGCUAACGCAAUAAGCACUCCGCCUGGGGAGUACGACCGCAAGGUUGAAACUCAAAGGAAUUGACGGGGGCCCGCACAAGCGGUGGAGCAUGUGGUUUAAUUCGAAGCAACGCGAAGAACCUUACCAGGUCUUGACAUCCCGAUGCUAUUCUUAGAGAUAGGAAGUUACUUCGGUACAUCGGAGACAGGUGGUGCAUGGUUGUCGUCAGCUCGUGUCGUGAGAUGUUGGGUUAAGUCCCGCAACGAGCGCAACCCUUAUUGUUAGUUGCCAUCAUUAAGUUGGGCACUCUAGCGAGACUGCCGGUAAUAAACCGGAGGAAGGUGGGGAUGACGUCAAAUCAUCAUGCCCCUUAUGACCUGGGCUACACACGUGCUACAAUGGUCGGUACAACGAGUUGCGAGCCGGUGACGGCAAGCUAAUCUCUGAAAGCCGAUCUCAGUUCGGAUUGGAGGCUGCAACUCGCCUCCAUGAAGUCGGAAUCGCUAGUAAUCGCGGAUCAGCACGCCGCGGUGAAUACGUUCCCGGGCCUUGUACACACCGCCCGUCACACCACGAGAGUUUGUAACACCCGAAGUCGGUGAG
rnacentral:rRNA from 1 species